AUGGAGUCGCUUGCCUCGCAAGCGAAGCCGGCUGCCGUGCUCUGGCUCGCCGGCUUCCUCCAGGCCGCGCGUCUCCACCGCGUCGUCUCCUUCUGCGUCAGCUCCAGGGCUCUGUCGAUCAGAAUCGCUCAGUGCUUCCUGCUCAACGGGUUCAUCUUCCUGGGGAGCUUGCUAACCUUGAAAUCGGUGGUCAUUCCAACUCUUCUAUGGAUACUGCCCGAGCAAUGCGAUCAAUCAUGGGGACAACAUCUAUGUGAUCACACAACAGCUGUUGCCUUGUAUUCGUUCUUACGUUCGGGGCUUGUCGAGAUUUUCUAUGUAUUUUGGUUUUAUCCCCUCUACAUCUUCAGCUUUAUAAUAAGUACACUUUGGUAUGGUGACAUUGCUAAGCAUGCUUUGGCUGUUGUGAAAAGUAAGAAGCUGGAUGCAAGUCAAGCAUCUGACUCUGACCCUCACAGCACAUCUGUAUCAGCAGAUAGGCCUGAAGGAUUUGAUGGGGUUGCGAUUGGUGUUGGAGAGCAGGUCUAUUCGAUACUUCUUUUGACUAUUUUCUUUGCUGAGGUUACAGUGAUUGGUUGCAUACCUUACCUUGGUAAGGCAAUGAACUUCAUGUUACUGUCUUUGAUGUAUGCCUACUACUGCUUCGAGUACAAGUGGAACUUCUUUGCAGUGAGCCUGAACCACCGGCUUGAUUUCUUUGAGUCAAAUUGGGCUUUCUUUGCCGGAUUUGGUAGUCCAUGUGUACUUCCGAUUUUCUUCUUCUCUCCUCUUACAAGUUAUGGUGUGAUGGCAAUACUAUACCCACUGUUUGUCAUGACAGCUGCUGGUACACAAGAAGAGCAAACCAUUGAUGAACUGAAAUCUUUGCAUGGAGGGAAACUGAAUAGAAUACCCUUGUUCUUUGUCGCGAAGCGACUAACGACGCAAGCGCUGCAGUUGUUCCCAGAGGCACAAAAGGAGCAAUGA
rnacentral:rRNA from 1 species